UGGAAGCGUCUGGAAAGGCGCGCGAUACAGGGUGACAGCCCCGUACACAAAAAUGCACAUGCUGUGAGCUCGAUGAGUAGGGCGGGACACGUGGUAUCCUGUCUGAAUAUGGGGGGACCAUCCUCCAAGGCUAAAUACUCCUGACUGACCGAUAGUGAACCAGUACCGUGAGGGAAAGGCGAAAAGAACCCCGGCGAGGGGAGUGAAAAAGAACCUGAAACCGUGUACGUACAAGCAGUGGGAGCACGCUUAGGCGUGUGACUGCGUACCUUUUGUAUAAUGGGUCAGCGACUUAUAUUCUGUAGCAAGGUUAACCGAAUAGGGGAGCCGAAGGGAAACCGAGUCUUAACUGGGCGUUAAGUUGCAGGGUAUAGACCCGAAACCCGGUGAUCUAGCCAUGGGCAGGUUGAAGGUUGGGUAACACUAACUGGAGGACCGAACCGACUAAUGUUGAAAAAUUAGCGGAUGACUUGUGGCUGGGGGUGAAAGGCCAAUCAAACCGGGAGAUAGCUGGUUCUCCCCGAAAGCUAUUUAGGUAGCGCCUCGUGAAUUCAUCUCCGGGGGUAGAGCACUGUUUCGGCAAGGGGGUCAUCCCGACUUACCAACCCGAUGCAAACUGCGAAUACCGGAGAAUGUUAUCACGGGAGACACACGGCGGGUGCUAACGUCCGUCGUGAAGAGGGAAACAACCCAGACCGCCAGCUAAGGUCCCAAAGUCAUGGUUAAGUGGGAAACGAUGUGGGAAGGCCCAGACAGCCAGGAUGUUGGCUUAGAAGCAGCCAUCAUUUAAAGAAAGCGUAAUAGCUCACUGGUCGAGUCGGCCUGCGCGGAAGAUGUAACGGGGCUAAACCAUGCACCGAAGCUGCGGCAGCGACACUAUGUGUUGUUGGGUAGGGGAGCGUUCUGUAAGCCUGUGAAGGUGUGCUGUGAGGCAUGCUGGAGGUAUCAGAAGUGCGAAUGCUGACAUAAGUAACGAUAAAGCGGGUGAAAAGCCCGCUCGCCGGAAGACCAAGGGUUCCUGUCCAACGUUAAUCGGGGCAGGGUGAGUCGACCCCUAAGGCGAGGCCGAAAGGCGUAGUCGAUGGGAAACAGGUUAAUAUUCCUGUACUUGGUGUUACUGCGAAGGGGGGACGGAGAAGGCUAUGUUGGCCGGGCGACGGUUGUCCCGGUUUAAGCGUGUAGGCUGGUUUUCCAGGCAAAUCCGGAAAAUCAAGGCUGAGGCGUGAUGACGAGGCACUACGGUGCUGAAGCAACAAAUGCCCUGCUUCCAGGAAAAGCCUCUAAGCAUCAGGUAACAUCAAAUCGUACCCCAAACCGACACAGGUGGUCAGGUAGAGAAUACCAAGGCGCUUGAGAGAACUCGGGUGAAGGAACUAGGCAAAAUGGUGCCGUAACUUCGGGAGAAGGCACGCUGAUAUGUAGGUGAAGCGACUUGCUCGUGGAGCUGAAAUCAGUCGAAGAUACCAGCUGGCUGCAACUGUUUAUUAAAAACACAGCACUGUGCAAACACGAAAGUGGACGUAUACGGUGUGACGCCUGCCCGGUGCCGGAAGGUUAAUUGAUGGGGUUAGCGGUAACGCGAAGCUCUUGAUCGAAGCCCCGGUAAACGGCGGCCGUAACUAUAACGGUCCUAAGGUAGCGAAAUUCCUUGUCGGGUAAGUUCCGACCUGCACGAAUGGCGUAAUGAUGGCCAGGCUGUCUCCACCCGAGACUCAGUGAAAUUGAACUCGCUGUGAAGAUGCAGUGUACCCGCGGCAAGACGGAAAGACCCCGUGAACCUUUACUAUAGCUUGACACUGAACAUUGAGCCUUGAUG
rnacentral:rRNA from 1 species